rnacentral:rRNA from 1 species
UACGGGGGGGGCAAGCGUUGUUCGGAAUUACUGGGCGUAAAGGGCUCGUAGGCGGCCAACUAAGUCAGACGUGAAAUCCCUCGGCUUAACCGGGGAACUGCGUCUGAUACUGGAUGGCUCGAGUUUGGGAGAGGGAUGCGGAAUUCCAGGUGUAGCGGUGAAAUGCGUAGAUAUCGUUUGGAACGCCGAUGGUGAAAACAGGUCGCUGGGGUUGUGCUGACGCUGAGACACGAAAGCCAGGGGAGCGAACGGG